UACGUAGGUGGCAAGCGUUGUCCGGAUUUAUUGGGUUUAAAGGGUGCGUAGGUGGUCUAUUAAGUCAGUGCUGAAAUAUCCCGGCUUAACCGGGAGGGUGGCAUUGAUACUGAUGGACUUGAGUAGAGUUGAGGUAGGCGGAAUUGACGGUGUAGCGGUGAAAUGCUUAGAUAUCGUCAAGAACACCGAUAGCGAAGGCAGCUUACUAAGCUCAAACUGACGCUGAGGCACGAAAGUGUGGGGAUCAAACAGG
rnacentral:rRNA from 1 species